GGGCGGUUAGCUCAGCAGGAUAGAGCGUUGGUCUCCGGAACCAAAGGUCCUGGGUUCGAGCCCCAGAUCGCCCGCCA
rnacentral:tRNA from 3 species